UAGGGAAUAUUGCACAAUGGGCGAAAGCCUGAUGCAGCGACGCCGCGUGAGUGAUGAAGGACUUCGGUUUGUAAAGCUCUGUUCUUAGGGAAUAAAAAAAUGAAUGUACCUGAGGAGAAAGCACCGGCUAACUUCGUGCCAGCAGCCGCGGUAAUACGAAGGGUGCAAGCGUUGCUCGGAAUCAUUGGGCGUAAAGCGAGCGCAGGUGGUUUUUUAAGUCAGAAGUGAAAGCCCAGGGCUUAACCCUGGAAGUGCUUUUGAUACUGGAAAACUUGAGUGUGGGAGAGGAUGCUAGAAUUCCUGGUGUAGUGGUGAAAUACGUAGAUAUCAGGAGGAACACCGGUGGCGAAGGCGGGCAUCUGGCCCAACACUGACACUUAGGCUCGAAAGCGUGGGGAUCAAACAGG
rnacentral:rRNA from 1 species